AUCUCAUCCUGGGGCUGAAGCAGGUCCCAAGGGUAUGGCUGUUCGCCAUUUAAAGAGGUACGCGAGCUGGGUUUAGAACGUCGUGAGACAGUUCGGUCCCUAUCUGCCGUGGGCGCUGGAAAUUUGAGAGGAUCUGCUCCUAGUACGAGAGGACCAGAGUGGACGAACCUCUGGUGUACCGGUUGUGACGCCAGUCGCAUCGCCGGGUAGCUAUGUUCGGAAGGGAUAACCGCUGAAAGCAUCUAAGCGGGAAGCCUACCUCAAGAUAAGAUUUCCCUAGGACUUUAUGUCCUCUAAAGAGCCGUUCGAGACUAGGACGUUGAUAGGUUGGAUGUGGAAGCAUAGUGAUAUGUGAAGCUGACCAAUACUAAUUGCUCGUGAGGCUUGACUAU
rnacentral:rRNA from 1 species